GCCCGCAUCUUUGAGUCCAAUCAUUUGAUCGAAACUAAUUUUAAUGACUGACUUAGAAACCUCAAGAUUAUCUUAAUUUUGAAGAAAAUAGGAUAUGUACUUGAUCAGAACCCUCCAAUUUUACCAAGCCAUCCUAGUGUUGAGCAGAGAGCAGCACUUGACAAAUAGACAGAUGAUAACAGUCGAAUUAAGUGCUAUAUGCUGGCUUCUAUGUCAAACUAGUUGCAAAGCCAGCAUGAGUAUAU
rnacentral:lncRNA from 1 species